rnacentral:rRNA from 1 species
UAUUGGACAAUGGGCGCAAGCCUGAUCCAGCCAUGCCGCGUGAGUGAUGAAGGCCUUAGGGUUGUAAAGCUCUUUUGUCCGGGACGAUAAUGACGGUACCGGAAGAAUAAGCCCCGGCUAACUUCGUGCCAGCAGCCGCGGUAAUACGAAGGGGGCUAGCGUUGCUCGGAAUCACUGGGCGUAAAGGGCGCGUAGGCGGCCAUUCAAGUCGGGGGUGAAAGCCUGUGGCUCAACCACAGAAUUGCCUUCGAUACUGUUUGGCUUGAGUAUGGCAGACGUUAGUGGAACUGCGAGUGUAGAGGUGAAAUUCGUAGAUAUUCGCAAGAACACCAGUGGCGAAGGCGGCUGACUGGGCCAUUACUGACGCUGAGGCGCGAAAGCGUGGGGAGCAAACAG